GACGAACGCUGGCGGCGUGCCUAAUACAUGCAAGUCGAGCGGACAGAAGGGAGCUUGCUCCCGGAAGUUAGCGGCGGACGGGUGAGUAACACGUGGGCAACCUACCCUGUAGAUCGGGAUAACAUCGAGAAAUCGGUGCUAAUACCGGAUAAUCAUUUGAAGUGCAUGCUUCGAAUGUAAACGAUGGCUCCGGCUAUCACUACGGGAUGGGCCCGCGGCGCAUUAGCUAGUUGGUAAGGUAAUGGCUUACCAAGGCAACGAGGCGUAGCUGACCUGAGAGGGUGAUCGGCCACACUGGGACUGAGACACGGCCCAGACUCCUACGGGAGGCAGCAGUAGGGAAUCUUCCGCAAUGGACGAAAGUCUGACGGAGCAACGCCGCGUGAGUGAUGAAGGUUUUCGGAUCGUAAAGCUCUGUUGUUAGGGAAGAACAAGUGCCGUUUGAAUAAGGCGGCACCUUGACGGUACCUAACCAGAAAGCCACGGCUAACUACGUGCCAGCCGCCGCGGUAAGAC
rnacentral:rRNA from 1 species